CUAGAACACCCCUUUAUACUGGGGGUAUCCCCAUAAAUUAUAUGUCCCCUGAUUGCCCUGAUCUGGGCGACCAACAUAUCCGAAUUUCACCCAGAUCGGUUUAGAGGUUCGCAAAAUUUAUGGAAGUUUCUUGUGACCGGCUCACCCUGGGCUGUAUGCCCAAAACAGUUCCAUGACUUUGGUGGGUUUUGCCGGUCACUUUCGAAAAAGCACAAAAACGAAUAAAAUACCGAAUGGAUCCCUCUGGCUCCUAGCAGCGUUCGUGCCCCUCUGUCGAAUACACCAAAGUACCGAAUAGCGCUCUUCUAGCUAUUCGGUAAAUGGAGUUCCAGUGUUCGUCUGUUUGGGACCGGUGUUCGGGAAGUCGAGCGUACGUUUUUAGUUCCAUGCACUCAACGACCAGGUCCAUGAACAAAGAUGGCCGCGGUUUUCUCUGCCACAUGGCGUUCGACUGACGAACGCUGGCCGCACAUACAGAGGUAGCAAUUUCACCCAAACUUUGAUGUUUAAUGAGCCAGAGGGGUGGUCUUUGUUCGGUAGUUCCAUCUACCGAAUGCAAUAAGUAGAAAGGGAGAUAAAAAGGGAAUGCAAGGGGUAAAGAACAUAGGAAACAGGGGGUUUCUUCACAGUCACCAUUGUUGCAGAUGGAAAAAGAUGUCACUACACCCUCAGGACAUAAGAUAUUGUAAGGUCAGACGGGAUAACAUUCUAUAUUUGUAACCAAAGAGUAGUGUAUAGCUUUGUGGAUAAACUUUGACAGUUGAUAUAUAGGUUUUGUUAUUAAUAGAAAUUGUGAAAUUUCUUCAGGUGUUCACUACAAAUAACUGUCUGAACAUCUUGGACCCCUGGGGUUGGCG